ensembl:misc_RNA Metazoa_SRP Metazoan signal recognition particle RNA
GCCGGGCGCUGUGGCACGUGCCUGUUGUCCCAGCUACUAGGGAGGCUGAGGUGGAAGGAUCGCCUGAGCCCAGGAGUUCUGGGUUGUAGUGCGCUAUGCCCAUCGGGUGUCUGCACUAAGUUCGGCAUCAAUAUGGUGACCUCCUGGGAGCAGGGGACCACCACGUUGCCUAAGGAGGGGUGAACCGGCCCAGGUCGGAAAUGGAGCAGGUCAAAAUUCCUGUGCUGAUCAGUAGUGGGAUCAUGCCUGUGAACAGCCACUGCACUCCAGCCUGGGCAACACAGUGAGACCCCGUCUCUU